UUCUGGGAUACAUGUGUAGAACAUCCAGGUUUGUUACAUAGGCAUACCUGUGUCAUAGUGGUCUGCCGCACCUAUCAACCCGUCAUUUUAAGUUUUAAGCCCUGCAUGCAUUAGGUAUUUGUUCUAGUGCUCUCCUUCCCCUUGCCCCCCGCCCCCUGAUAGGCCCUGGUGUCUGAUGUUCCACUGCCUGUGUCCAUGUGAUCUCACUGUCCAACUCCCACUUACCAUUGAGAACAUUCGUUGUUUGGUUUUUUUGUUCCUGUGUUAGUUUGCUGAGAAUGAUGGCUUCCAGCUUCAUCCAUGUCCCUGCAAAGGACAUUAUCUCAUUCUUCCUUUACAGCUGCAUAGUAUUCCAUGGUGUAUAUGUGCCACAUUUUGGGGGUUUUCUCCUCCUCUGUGAAGUUUCAGCAGACAGUUUCUGGACCAAGAGAGUUCCUCAGGGCCAAGAGCUCCCCAAGAGAGGGGUGUGAUGUGACAGGGUCCUCCCUUGGCAUCCUGCUGUCCUUUUCAUGCAGUGAAAUUGGUAUGUAUUCGCAGAACACCUAAAGCCUGCCAAGCGCUGUCAGAAGUAAAGUUAUCAAAGAUCUCAGAAAAGACGUACACGUUGAGCUAUUUUCUCCAUCAUCGUCGGUGAGGAAGCUACACUCCAACUGACGCCUGGAGAUGCCACAGACAUCUGCAACCCUAAGCACUUGGGAAAACUGCAGAACGGCAGAAAAAUGCAAGGGAAGCCAAUGUGGAAAGGGCUUUUUCCACCUGCUGACAGUUUUCUUCACAAGUAUCACAAUGAAGCUAUUUGAGAAUCAGCUUGCAAAGCACCUAGCUCUAAAUAGCCCUCUCUCCCCAUUCCUUAAAGACAGACAAAGCGGCUCUUCCCAGCCCUAGAAGUGCCCUUUUCCAGGGCCCGACUUACAGGACUAUAGCUCUUGUCUAAUCAGAGACAGGACAGCCUGGAUUCCUGGACAGCGGCAGAAGAGAGCUCAGGGUUCAAGACUCCAGCUGACCAAGUUGUCAGGCUGAGUGGGGAGAACCAAGCUGAACUCUUUCUCCACCUUUUAAGGUCUGUAAUCUCCAUCCAUCCAUUCACUCAUUAUGAGCACUUGGCGAUCGCCUGUUGUCUUCAUGAGCAGUUCUUUGUGUCUUUGAUUUUGUCACUGAAGGAUUGCAUCCUCUUUCCAAAUACCUUUAGAAAGCUGUGAGGGCUGUCCAUUUGUCACACCUGAGUAUUAACUAGCUUCCACAAGGCAUUUUCUGCAAUGGUGGAAAGGCACCUUCAUCACAUCUAGGGUCUUGUUUAUACCCACGAAGGAGGUACAAUCUCUGUUGUCCCAAUUUCAGGAAAUUGAGGAUCAGGAGGCGCAGUGACCUGCCCCAGGUCAUGCAGAAGAAACCACCUCUGACUCCCAGCGCCCUGUUUGUCUUCCGGAGUGCUGGGGCCAAGCAGAGGAAAGUCGCUGGCAGCAAGAAGGGCAGGGAGGGAGGUCCCUGAGCGCCGAGAUGGGGAGUGAGGUGAGGAGGGUGGGAUGUUCCAUCCUUCUCCAGCAAAGGAAACCCUUCCGCAGCUACACUCGCUUGCAGCCCUGAGGGUGUAAAAGGCCCAUUAAGAUCCAGGUUAAAUCAACCUAUGGAGCUACCCCCGCAGAGGGCCGGGGGUCCCUCCAACUUGACGGGGGUCCUCAGCCGUUUCCUCCGUAGCCCCAGCCCUCCCUCCCAGCCCUCGCGGUCGCCCCUCCCAGCCCCCGAGUCGGUCCCGCCC
rnacentral:lncRNA from 1 species